rnacentral:rRNA from 1 species
GAUGAACGCUGGCGGCGUGCCUAAUACAUGCAAGUCGAGCGAACGGACGAGAAGCUUGCUUCUCUGAUGUUAGCGGCGGACGGGUGAGUAACACGUGGAUAACCUACCUAUAAGACUGGGAUAACUUCGGGAAACCGGAGCUAAUACCGGAUAAUAUUUUGAACCGCAUGGUUCAAAAGUGAAAGACGGUCUUGCUGUCACUUAUAGAUGGAUCCGCGCUGCAUUAGAUAGUUGGUAAGGUAACGGCUUACCAAGGUAACGAUGCGUAGCCGACCUGAGAGGGUGAUCGGCGACACUGGAGCGGAGACACGGUCAAGACGCCUACGGGAGGGACCAGAAGGGAACCUGCCGCAAUGGGCGAAAGCCUGACGGAGCAAGGCCGCGUGAGUGAUGAAGGUCUUCGGAUCGUAAAACUCUGUUAUUAGUGAAGAACAUAUGUGUAAGUAACUGUGCACAUCUUGACGGUACCUAAUCAGAAAGCCACGGCUAACUACGUG